GCCAAGCUAGUUUUCAGUUCUGGUGUGGUAGGUUCCAGUUGUUGUCAUGGCAACUGUCCGCCUCUCCGCGCUGGUGGGCGUGUCUUUUAGCUGAUGAGGGUAUAAAUAAGGUUGGAGGGCUGGUGGAAAUCGAGUUUUUCUCCAUCUUGUGCUUUGUCGGUUCUAACUGGUGCUGUUUUUCUUCCUCUUUUGUAGCUUCCUCCUGAAACUUAAUAGGAAUACUUGGUUUCGAUUCCAGAAGGAGGUAGGGGUAUGCUUCUGGGGCAACAGCCUUGAGAACAGUUUCAUUCUCAGCUGAAAGCCAUUGUUAAAGACUCUCUAAGGCCUGAAGAUGGAGAGCACCCGGAGCACUCCUCGAGAAGGGACACAGGGACUGUGUGUCUGAGCUGGUGCCUCAGAUGCAGGUGCUAGCCGUGCCCGGCGGAGGCAGCCGGUAAGCCCGACCCAGCGCCAAUCUGGACACCCAUUAUACUACAGAGCUACAGUCAUCAAAGCAGUAUGUUACUGGCAGAAAGCAGAUGCUACUGGCAGAAAUCAGUGGAACAGACUAUAGAGCCCAGAAAUGAACCCACACUUACAUGGACAAUUAAUCUACAAUAAAGGAAGAGAUUAAACGUGUGGUUGGCAGAAACUGGAGCCCCCUGCAUGCAGGACAGGAGCCGCAUGCCCUACACGGAUGCUGUGGUGCAUGAGAUAUAUUGACCUGGUCCCCACCAACCUGCCCCACAAAGCAACUCAGGACAUUAAAUUCAGAGACUAUCUUAUUCCCAAGACAUGCAGAUGUUCCUGGGCCAGCGACCUGAGCCACAGCAGUGACAACUCCCGAUCCUUAAGCCCUUCAGCCAUCAGGAAAUUCAGACCUUUUCAGGGAUUUAAGGAUGAGUACAAGGGCAUACACUUGGGUCAGAAAAAUACAUGAAGAAAUUGAAACCUUCCAUUGAUACCUGUUCUCCCCAACCAAGCUCCAGUAACUCCUUUAUCCUCUGAAUAGGGUAAGGAUGGUAAGUGCUCCCUGAGUUUUUCUCAAUUAAAAUAUCAUUUGACUAACCCACUAGAAACUAUCUCAUUUUUUAAAAAAUGUGACAGCCCCUAAAAUAGUUAAAAAAUUACCUGAAGUCAGUAUUGUUAAAGAGAUAACAAAAGGUUACAAAAAAAAAUACUUUAAAAAUUUUUUUGACUCUUCCUCCAGUCCCAGGUUUUUCUUGAAUUCAGUCCUCAAUGAGAAAUCUUUCCUCAAAGAAAGAAAAUACUCCUCUUCCUCACUGCCGUCCCACAGGGUCAUGACAGAAAAGUACUGUAUUUGUUUUCUCCUUUGCUCCUCAAAAGCAUUUCAAUCAAAUAAAAUUUUCCAAAAUAAGGAAUUAUAGGAGGUAGAUCCUUGGAAGGGAAAAAAUUUAUUGAUGCCUAAGCAGGUAAGCCAGUAUACUGUUCUCAUCAGGCUCAGGCUCCAUGACUGAUUCUUCCAGUUUUGUUUUGAGACUCCCCCAUCCUAACACAUACCCCACAGCCACAGACAUAACCAUAUAGAUACACAAAUAUCCAAGAGAUAUUGUGUUAAUGUUUAAUAUUUAUGUCUUUCUUUUUCAGUGGUUCAUUUAGAUCUUACAGACAGGAACUACCCUGUACCCACAUUACAGAUGAGGAUCAGCAUGUGGACAGUAGAAGCAGAGUAGAGAGAAUAUUAGAUAAAUGUGUGCAGUGAACCUCAGGAAACUCUAGUGGAGGUUGGGUGUUCACUGGAUAUUGGGAGAAUAGCAGGCUGUGAGAGGUCAGAGAAGGUAUUCCAGGGACCAGGAUGAGGUGAGCAAUGCCCCAGAGGAGGGGAGUGGCAGAUGACAGCACAGCAGCUGCCAGAGGGUCCUCUCUUCCUCACAGUGGAAUGAAGCAGAUCUGGUAGAAGGGAGGCACAGAAGCAAAUCCAUUGGCAACUGGAGUGGUGUCGAUGUCCUUUGGAUCAACCACAGAUUUCAGGUUAAAUUUCUGUAAAAUUGUGGUCAGGAAUAAAAACAGCUCCAUGCGGGCCAGGCCCUCUCCCACACAAAUCCGUUUUCCUGAAAAUAACAGACCCAGGGGUUGGUUAUUCUUCAAAUAGCGUGUUUGUGACUGGCAUGAAGAGAAUACACAGUAACUAUUUGGCAAAUGAUUGAAUGGAUGGAUGGAUGUGUGUGUGGAUGGAUUAAUGGAAGACUAGCUGGAUUGACAGAAGGACAGUAAUGAAGAUAGACAAACUUGUUAGCCACCCAAAGUCUUUAUCUUAACAAACACCCUUCAUUCAACAGUUAUAGAGUACCAGUUAUAUGCUUAUCACUUCAAUAGGUAAUCUUACAUUAUAGCUGCUCUUUUGGAAUUUCAAAUUUAAAACUAUCUUUUUUUUAGAAAUACCCUCACAUUGCUUGUCCAGUGGAUUGAAGGGAGAAGAAUGGAGAGGAGGCUCAUGUAUCUGUGUCUCCUUUUCUACAUCUGGUACAAAAUUCAGCUAAAGAUUUUUUCACUAGUGUAUUUUCAAAAGACUUAUAUGAUGAUCUAGAUUUUAAAUUUUAAAUUGAUUAUAUGACUGUACUUAUCAAACUCAUCUGUCUUACAGGAUACAGUGCCAUGGCUUGACUUGUCUCUUCACAUUCUGUUCCCAGUCUGAUGUCCAUGAUCUUUCCUUCCAUUAGUCACACCUUUUACUCUCAGCUCUAAGCCGAUCCACUCUUCAUUACCUUCCAACACACCAGCCAUGUCAAGCUUUAUCUCAUGCUGUUCCUCUUGGCUGAGAUGUACUUCUCUUUUACUUCCUUCCAUUUCUAGGUCAGAUAUUGUGUUUCCUUUACACUCUUUGGUAAUUCCCUCAGGUCUUAGAUUCUUACUCUCUCUGGGUUAUUCCCUUUAUUUUAUAGCUUGUUAAAAUGUGAAUUCCUUGAAUGAAGGGCUCAGUUCUUGUGUCUUAGAUCUACACUUGAAGCAUGCAUCAAGAGUCACAGAAUAAACAAAGGUGACUCCAUGGGCAGACACUCAGAGCACUCCUUUCAGGUAUGAAGAUCCAAUAACCAAGACAUAAGAUCAUGACUGGAGGAAGAGGAUGAUGCUCUGGAGUCACUGCAUGGUAUCCUACCACAGCCCCAGUAUUCCCCCACCCUAUAUUUAGUUGAAAGUUCUCCUCCUCGAUCUAGAGAAAAUGUCCUAUUCCUGUGGCUCAUUACUUCCUUAAAAAUGACCUUCCUUUUCUUCUUUCAUUUCUCUAUAUCCCCUGUGCAGCAGCUCAAAUAUAAUUUCUCUUAUUAAAAUGUUGCUUAUUCCAUCUUAUGCCUCAAUACGGAGUAUGAAUAAUCAGGAAAGAGGUGGUUUCCACCUCUUGUCGCUGAGCAGUCUGUUAUUCCCUCUCUCAUAGUACUAGUUGUACCAUAUGACAAGUGUUUACUCCUUUCCUCCAGUAAUUGGGAUGUGAGCUUUAGGAGUGCCUAUUUUAUACUUCGACAUACUUAUGUCCCCAUAUCUCAUCCUGUGGUGACAGGCAACAGAUAGAAGAUGAUCAACAAAGUUAUCUGACUUUGUCAGAACUGGUGAAGACAGUAUAAACUCACUUUCUAGGAAGAGUUCUGGGUACUGCAGUGACGUAUUUGGAGGCAGAAUUCAAUAAACCCACCUUCUAGCUUUCUUCUUCUGGAAGAACCAAAUGACUUCCCAAGGCCCCACUGAUGUGGCCCAACAAUGAGGAUGUAUCAAGAGGUGGGAAAGUACAUGGGCAUUGCAAAGAGAAACUCUACUAGCUUGAGAGUGGGUACUGUGUACAUUUUAGCUGAUUUCAUGAAGGUGUUUUGUUCCCCGAAGCACCAAAAGAAAUGAAUUUCUGUUACCUGUUGAGAAAGGCAUGAAGUAGUCACUCUUCUUAAAGUUACCACUCUCAUCUAGGAAAUGGCCAGGGUCAAACACUUCUGGGUUGGGGAAUGCUUUGCAAUCAUACAGCACAGAAGUCAAAGAUGUUAAUAUUGUUGUGCCCUGGAAUGAACAGACAAAGAUAAACUGAGUUAUUAAGAAGUUACAGAGCUAGAAGAAAUGUUGGACAUUACUUAGUCCAGUCUCUUUGAUCCGUAGAUGGAGAAACGGUGGUCCAAAGAAGUGAAGUGAAAUUUCCAGGCAGACAGACCAGAUAAUAAACAAGGAUGAGUUUAAGCUACCAAAAUAUUAGCUUGCAAAUGUAAUUCGCAUAUGGUGAAUGACCAGCUAGCAAUUGGCAUGUGAAACAAUGGAAUGAAGAAUGCACAUCAAGGAAGGGAGAUUCUAGCCAGAACAAUAGGCAUGGAUUCAGUGGAGGAUGGGAGGCAGGGACUUCAUUUAACAGACCCACAGCACAACAUGAGACCUGAAAAGAAGAUGCCAUUUAAUGGUCAUGAGGUUCUAAAUGCCAGGAAAUGGUAUACAUUACUAGAUCACUAAGGACAAUGCUCGUACAAACCAUGUUCUAUAGAUAUCAUUGUAUUUGUUCUAAGUUGAUUAAUGAAGUUACUUCUAAGCUCUUUUCAUAAGGAAAAUUAAGAUUUGUCAGACUGCAGUUAGACAUGUUUACAGGAAUUCUGACAAUUAACAGAGAAGUUUCAUACCUAUCACAUCCCUUCAGAGUCUCUCAAUUAACUUUACCUACAGUAAAAUUAUUCCUAUUAGAGAAGAAGCUGGGCUUUGAGAAUUCAGUACUUGGGCCAAGGACAUGGUGUCUAUGGCUGGUAAAGCUGUGGCUGGACCCUAUAUCCCCUGAGUCUUGUAUGCUUCCCUCCAAGCAAGCAUUCAGUUCAGGGCCAUAACCAUGACAUAUGUGGUUCCCAA